CACAAAACGGGUCCGAGCUAUCACAAUGGCCUUUGUAUUUGAGUGGGGAAACCCAAUGAUGUCACAGCGAUGAGUCAUCGAUGGACGACAAACAUGAUGACCAGUCCACUAGUCCAGACUUGCCCAGUCUCUCACUCCGAAUACGCGUGCGGUGUUCUCGAAUGUUCCCAAGCACAUUCCCAGUGACGUCACAGCGGUGAGUCAUCAAUGGACGACAAACAAGAAGACCAGUCUGGACUUGUCCGAUCGUCCAGUCCGAAUUCGUGGUGUUUUUACACUCUCUAUGUGCACAAUCGAUCGGCGGUGUGAACAUUCAACGUCAGCUGAAUGUUUGGGGUGCAUCGACAAAACGACAAGGUGACCGCAGUAUACGUCCGCGUUUUUAUCUCAUCCAGUCCCGAAUCUCCUGAACGAUCGCACAAAUUCAAGGGUCCACCUCUCAUCAGCAUGUCCACCACUGUGAUCAAAGGAAGAAGCGGAGUUAUAGUGCACACUCAAGUGACAUAAGACAUUUAGGCUCCAAAACAAGUCAUUCAAGAAUCGCAUUAAAAUUUAUUUGUCAUUGUUAUAUAUCUUAAAUUUUAAUCGAAUUUAUUUCGUUCUUUUGUAAAAGAAUUGAGUUGAGUUACAUGUACUAGUGCAUAGGCCUUUGAGAUAAACCACGCCAACGUAAAAUCGUUGUGUAUCUCGCUAAAGAAAAAGAAAAAAAAAUCAACAACACUUUAGAAUA